rnacentral:lncRNA from 1 species
GAUCUGGGAGUCUCAUAUGGUGAUUAAUUUUGGGUUUUUAGGGCCUUGUUCGAAAAUGAUGGUUUAUUGGGCGUAUCAACAGCCUAAAAUUUAUCUGGUGAACAUCUGGGGUGGGCACGGUCCUCGCGGAUCUAGGGUCCAUUAAUUAAACAUCUAAACAAGAAUCUAUAGAUCUUGUCAAGUUAAAUGACCUAACAACGUUUCUUCAGAUGUGUAAGUUAAAUGUGCACUGGAAAAAGCCUCACUCUCUUAGAUCCAUGCAACAACUUAAAAGACAAGGCUAGGUAAAUGUUUUUAUAAUGCUAAGAGAACCGAACUCUUGAUCUAGCCUAAAAUUUUUCUUCUUCUUUUUCAUUUGUAGCCUAACCUCAAUAGUUCAAAUAUUCGAAUUCAAUUAUUUUCAUAUGUAAUUUGGAUUUUUUUAUGCAAGAAGCGAGAAAUUUUGGGUAGCACUGCUUGUUUAGGGCAACUAUCAGACAACAAUCAUGUUUUUGUAUAGGGGAUCCAAUUCCACCAAUACAAGGAUUUGAAUUCCAAAUUUUGUGUGGGCCCCACUGUUUUUUUUAUUCAUUCAUGUUUAGUAAACACCAUAGUACUCCAUAAUUGAAAUUCAAUUCCACAUUCUCAUUCCGAUUACGGGUACGUAAACACACGGUGGGACACCGACUCUCCCAGCAGCUUCAGUAAAAAAGGAGAAAGGAAAAAGUAUAGAGCAUAAAAGAAGAUCCAAGAAAAUGAUGCCAUAAUUGAUGACCAUGAAAGAGAAUGGAGGGCAUACGUCAGAGAACUCUUAGAUCAUCCAAUGAAGGCAUAUAUAUAUAUAUGAGGCCGAUACGUAACAUCACGUUUUUUUUAUACAACUUUUGACACACGUUUUUUUCAGGAGCACUCCGUUAUUUAUUUUAACUAUCUGAAUCGUCCUUUUUUUAGAACAUCAUUCAUAGAUCAUCUUUGCAUAAAAUUAAACAAAUCCACAACCAUUAAGAAAUUCAUUUGUGGUGAAGAAAAUAGACAAAUAUGGUUCUACUAAGAAAUCCAAAACCCUUAUUCAAGUGGUAAUAUGGUUUUAAAUUUGAGUGAUUUUUUAUAGGGAGUUUUAAUGAAAAGUCCGCGUUACUGUUCACUUUAACGAAAAACCACAUUUUUACACUAAAAAGUAAAACAUAGUACUAUUCUUUUUACUAUUUAUUUUGUCUUUAUUAUUAAAACUCAAGUUUUCAAGCCCUUUUCAUUAGUUUUCCUUUUUUUAUAGACAUGAUAUUUGAAAGAAAACCUAAAAGAUAGAUGAUUUAAAUUGUUGAAAUGCUUAUAAAGUGGGCCCAACAAAAAAUAGUGUUACGGAUUCGGGAAUGGAAUGUGAUUCAUAUGUGAACACACCCAGGAGAAGCUAAAGAUUCGAACAUUGUGAAGUGAACACGAGAAGAAGCAGCUGGUUCGUGUGAGAAACUCUCUUUCUCGAGGGAACAAAAAGAUGUGUGUAUUGGUGGUUGUGGCGAGAGAGGAACCAAUUUAGGGAAAGCAAUUACUUUGAAAAUGUGGAUAAAAUCAUUUGGAGACCAAUCCUUUUUUUUGGGGAAACGAUGGAGACGAAUCUUGCCCCUAAAGCUUCUUUAUUGGAUUACUUGACGUUCCUGGCAAGAGCAAAGACCAAACGCAUAUGAAUUCAUCUACUCCUAAUUAUAAUUAAACAACUCAUUGGCUAGAACACGUUGUAUCAGAAACAGUUGAAGUUAACUUAUGUAUGAGGUGCAUCUUGUUCUUAACUAAAGUUUUCUCUGAUAACCACGUUCUGUCUUAUAUAAAUUUAUUGAUAGCUGUCGAUGAAUUUUUACGUUCUCAAAACAGACUAAGACAAGUCGAAGAGACUCGUAAUGUUAGAAUCAAGUUCUCUCUGCUAUCUUUUGCCUUAAGUAUAUUCAAAAUGGAAAAUAUUGUUGACCAUCCACUCCUUCUCAUUACACGACAACAAUUAUACAGAAAAUUUAAAGAAAAAAGGAAUUUUAGAUCCUUACAGCACAAAACACAUGAGAAUUUCUUUCCAGCCAGAAAAUAAUAAAAUUGAAGUAUUUGCACAGUAGUGAAGUCCUUACUAAUCUGCUCAUCAUCCAGUUAGUUUCAGCUGCAGGAACCCCACAGAACAGAAUAACUUGACUUAAUUUCCUUCCUUUUUGGUUUCUUUUAUUUUUCCCAUCUUUUUCCCGAUUUCGUACAGCUUAUUAUAAAUGCAAUGAGAUAUAUUCAUAAAUUGAUCUGAAAAUUUAACUUUCCCCCUCCAAACUCAUUUUUUCUAGCCUCUAGCCCAUCAUAUAAUAUUUAUCCGAAUAAAACCCAAUGAUUAGGAUCCAACUAAGCAACUUACCAAAUUAAGUUUGUGUGUCUGUUUUUAUAAUUUUUGGAUCCCUAAUAUACCCCAUCUAAGCAAGUAUGGAAAGUUCUUGUAAUUUUGUUUUAAUUGAUCACGUGCAUUGAAUUUGGCGAGGUCUUGUAGCCAUGAAAUAUGGUUCUAGAUGGAGGAAUUAAUUUGGAAAUUUUUUAGUUUUGACAAUAAAUUUCAAUUUGAAUAAACCUAAUUUAGUGUUUAUUUUCAACAAUAUCUAUUGUUUAAUUUUAUGAAAAUAAUCGUCUACUAUGAAAAUUAAUUUUAUGAAAACAAUAUCUAUUGUUUAAUUUUAUACCUACAGUAUAAUUACAUGAAAAUAGUUUUACCUACUAUGAAAAUUAAUUUUUUGAAAACAAUAUCUAUUGUUUAAUUUUAUGAAAAUAAUUUACCUAUUGUAUAAUUACAUGAAAAUUAAUGUGCCUACUUUUUAAAUUUGUAACAAAAUUAAUUUACCUACUUCUUAUCGUGGUAUUAGUAUACGUAAAUGUAGAAUAUAUGUCCGUAUAUAUUUGAUCUAAUUAGGUUUUGGAUUGGAGGAGUUCACACAAAAUUAAAAAUAUAUUAAACAAAUUAAAUGUCUAAAAGAAACGUAUAAGAGAUUUGGUGGCAUGAUUUUGUAAAUAAACACAAAUUCAUGGACAUCUUUUAUCCAACAUGA